rnacentral:tRNA from 1 species
GCCUGGCUGGCUCAGUUGGAAGAGCGUGUGACUCUUGAUGUCAGGGUUGUGAGUUCAAGUCCCACACUGGGUG